rnacentral:rRNA from 1 species
CUACGGGUGGCUGCAGUGGGGAAUAUUGCACAAUGGGGGAAACCCUGAUGCAGCAACGCCGCGUGGAGGAUGACACAUUUCGGUGCGUAAACUCCUUUUAUAGGUCAAGAUAAUGACGGUAGCCUAUGAAUAAGCGCCGGCUAACUCCGUGCCAGCAGCCGCGGUAAUACGGAGGGCGCAAGCGUUACUCGGAAUCACUGGGCGUAAAGUGCAUGUAGGCGGGUUAAUAAGUCAGAAGUGAAAUCCAAUAGCUCAACUAUUGAACUGCUUUUGAAACUGUUAACCUAGAGUGUGGGAGAGGUAGAUGGAAUUUCUGGUGUAGGGGUAAAAUCCGUAGAGAUCAGAAGGAAUACCGAUUGCGAAGGCGAUCUACUGGAACAUUACUGACGCUGAGAUGCGAAAGCGUGGGGAGCAAACAGGAUUAGAUACCCCGGUAGUC